rnacentral:rRNA from 1 species
AUUGACCGCUGGCGGCAGGCCUAACACAUGCAAGUCGAACGAGUGGCGGACGGGUGAGUAAUGUCUGGGAAACUGCCUGAUGGAGGGGGAUAACUACUGGAAACGGUAGCUAAUACCGCAUACCAUCAGAUGUGCCCAGAUGGUAUUAGCUUGUUGGUGGGGUAACGGCUCACCAAGGAGACGAUCACUAGCUGGGAUGAGAGGAUGACCAGCAACACUGGAACUGAGAACCGGUCCAGACUCCUACGUGAGGCAGCAGUGGGGAAUAUUGCACAAUGGGCGGAAGCCUGAUGCAGCCAGUCCGCGUGUAUGAAGAAGGCCUUCGGGUUGUAAAGUACUUGCAGCGGGGAGGCGUUACCCGCAGAAGAAGCACCGGCUAACUCCGUGCCAGCAGCCGCGGUAAUUC